rnacentral:lncRNA from 1 species
UUUAUUUUAAUAGUUUUGUCAUUGAAUGUAAUUUGGUGCAACUGCCGCUUCCGCUCUCUCUGACCCCAUUUCUGAAAAAAAUCCAACUCGCAAUGAAUCUUGGGAUAAGUUGGGCCGUGAAGGAUACAAAAAGAAGAGUCCCCUCAAGCCCCUGUCUGCCAAACCGGACCCCUGAUCUGAGAGGAGGAGGUUAACCAGCUGACCCCUGAUCAGAGAGGAGGACGUUAACCAGCUGACCCCUGAUCUGAGAGGAGGACGUUAACCAGCUGACCCCUGAUCUGAGAGGAGGACGUUAACCAGCUGACCCCUGAUCUGAGAGGAGGACGUUAACCAGCUGACCCCUGAUCAGAGAGGAGGACGUUAACCAGCUGACCCAUGAUCUGAGAGGAGGACGUUAACCAGCUGACCCCUGAUCUGAGAGGAGGACGUUAACCAGCUGACCCCUGAUCUGAGAGGAGGACGUUAACCAGCUGACCCCUGAUCAGAGAGGAGGACGUUAACCAGCUGACCCCUGAUCUGAGAGGAGGACGUUAACCAGCUGACCCCUGAUCUGAGACGAGGACGUUAACCAGCUGACCCCUGAUCUGAGAGGAGGACGUUAACCAGCUGGCCCCUGAUCUGAGAGGAGGACGUUAACCAGCUGACCCCUGAUCAGAGUGGAGGACGUUUACCAGUGGAAGGGACGUUAAACCAGCUGACCCCUGAUCUGAGAGGAGGAGGUUAACCAGUAGAAGAGGAAGUUAUCCAGUUGACUCCUGAUCUGAGUGGAGGACGUAAACCAGUUGAAGAGGAUGUUAACCAGUUGACUCCUGAUCUGAGAGGAGGACGUUAAACAGCUGACUCCUGAUCUGAGAGGAGGACGUUAACCAGUGGAAGAAGAAGUUAACCAGCGGAUUCCUGAUCUGAGUGGAGGGCGUUAACCAGCUGACUCCAGUGGAGGACGUUAACCAGUGAAAGAGGAUGUUAACCAGCUGACCCCUGAUCUGAGAGAAGGACAUUAACCAGCUGAACCCUAAUCUGAGCGGAGGUUAACCAGCAGCUGUGUAGUGGCCCAUUGAAUGCUUUCUGUGAGGGUGGGAAUAAAAUGCUGAUGCUACGGGUUGUGGAGAAAGUUAGGUACAUUGGAUUUUCCUCUCUUUGAGGUUGGAAGGUG